rnacentral:rRNA from 1 species
GACGAACGCUGGCGGCGUGCUUAACACAUGCAAGUCGAACGGAAAGGCCCUGCUUUUGUGGGGUGCUCGAUUGGCGAACGGGUGAGUAACACGCGAGUAACCUGCCCUUGACUUUGGGAUAACUUCAGGAAACUGGGGCUAAUACCGGAUAGGAGAUCCUGCUCCAUGGUGGGGGUUGGAAAGUUUCGGCGGUUGGGGAUGGACUCGCGGCUUACCAGCUAGUUGGUGGGGUAGUGGCUUACCAAGGCUUUGACGGGUAGCCGGCAUGGGAGGGUGACCGGCGUCAAUGGUCCUACGGGACGGCCCAGUCGCGAACGUGAGGCAGCAGGGGGGAAUAUUACACAGUGGGGGGAAGCGUGAGGCAGCAACGCUGGGUUCGGGAUGACGGCCUUUGGGGUGUGAACCGCUUUCGCCGGUGACGAAGAGUGAGUGACGGUAAUGGGUAAAGAAGCACCGGCUAACUACGUG